AUGCCGCGUGAGUGACGAAGGCCUUAGGGUCGUAAAGCUCUUUCGCCAGAGAUGAUAAUGACAGUAUCUGGUAAAGAAACCCCGGCUAACUCCGUGCCAGCAGCCGCGGUAAUACGGAGGGGGUUAGCGUUGUUCGGAAUUACUGGGCGUAAAGCGUACGUAGGCGGAUUGGAAAGUAGGGGGUGAAAUCCCGGGGCUCAACCCCGGAACUGCCUCCUAAACUAUCAGUCUAGAGUUCGAGAGAGGUGAGUGGAAUUCCAAGUGUAGAGGUGAAAUUCGUAGAUAUUUGGAGGAACACCAGUGGCGAAGGCGGCUCACUGGCUCGAUACUGACGCUGAGGUACGAAAGUGUGGGGAGCAAACAGGAUUAGAUNNNUNGGUAGUCCANUGCUGCCUC
rnacentral:rRNA from 1 species